rnacentral:rRNA from 1 species
UACGUAGGGUGCGAGCGUUGUCCGGAAUUAUUGGGCGUAAAGAGCUCGUAGGCGGUGUGUCACGUCGGCCGUGAAAACCUGCAGCUUAACUGUGGGCGUGCGGUCGAUACGGGCAUCACUGGAGUUCGGCAGGGGAGACUGGAAUUCCUGGUGUAGCGGUGAAAUGCGCAGAUAUCAGGAAGAACACCUAUGGCGAAGGCAGCUCUCUGGGACGGUACUGACGCUGAGACGCGAAAGCGUGGGGAGCGAACAGG